CUGGCCGGGAGUUAGGAGAGCUGGGCACUAGGAACGCUUUGAAACCGAACAGCUGUGUGAUUUCCGAGGUUAUGUUGCUUCUCUACUAUAUUUUAGUUCCGAACUUGUACUAAUGUUUCUCUCAAAAAGGCAGAAAAAAGAGACCGGCGCCUGGACGACUUUCAGGGGAGAGCUGGAAGAAAGACUGUCAACAGCUGAGUGCGGGCGCCGGCGCCGUCUACGCAGUGCGUUCCACCGGGUCCGUAUCCCUCCCGAUUCCGCCCCACCCCGCCCUCGGAACUCGCUGCCUCAACUCCUGCGGUGGGACUCCGGAGCAGCGUACACCGCCCUUGCCUUAGUCCUCCCCAAGGCCAGGGCAGCUGUGCGGCCUGGCGCGGGUUACUUGGUGUGGUGCAAAAAGCCAGAAGGAGACACAUUUGGUCCUGGCCACCCCGGAGUCACCCAAACCAAAAGCAUUGAUGUGAGUGUAGAUGAAGUAAAAACUUUGGCUUCCCUGAUGACAUACAAGUGUGCAGUGGUUGGUAAGUGAUCGCCUUUCUUGCUACCUAAUGAGAACUCUGGGGAAAUAUGUUUACUCACAUGGUUACUGUUAAGAUGCUAUAGAAAUAUACCUUAUCAGAACUGAUUUUUUUUAAGUUGUCCUCUUUAAGACCUGCAUCAUUUUUCAAGAUAAUGAAUUGGAAAAGAUCACAAGGAGGUUCACCAUGGAGCUAGCAAAGAAGGGCUUUAUUGUGUGGCCACAUAGAUUUUGGUAUAAAGUGGGAACAUCUAAAAAAAUCUUUUUUUUUUUUUUUUGAGACAGAGUCUUGCUCUGUCGCCAAGAUUGGAGUGUAGUGGUGCGAUCUCCUCCACCUCCCGGGUUCAAGCAAUUCUCUUGUCUAAGCCUCCCGAGUAGCUGAGACUAUAGGCAUGUGCCACCAUGCCCAGCUAAUUUUCGUAUUUUUAUAGAGAUGGGGUUUUGCCAUGUUGAUCAGGCUGGUCUUGAACUCUUGACCUCAGGUGAUCCACCCAUCUCAGAAUCCCAAAGUGCUGGGAUUACAGGCGUGAGCCACUAUGCCCGGCCUCCUACUAUUUGUAAUAGGAGAUAGGGUCAGAUAAGGGAAUAAAAGCAGGCUGCCCCAGCCAGGGGCAGCAACCAGCUCAGGUCCCCUUCCACACUGUGGAGGCUUUGUUUUUUUGCGCUUUGCAAUAAAUCUUGCUGCUGCUCACUCUUUGGGUCCGCACUGCCUUUAUGAGCUCUAACACUCAUCGCGAAGGUCUGCAGCUUCAUUCUUGAAGUCAGUGAGACGAAGAACCCACCAAUUCCGGACACAGAAGUGUCUUCAUUUAAAAAAAUUUUUUAAGUGCACUGAAAAAGCAUCACAUAUUCUAGCCUCGUAAUAAUGCUCCCUUUUUGGAGAUCCCAGGAAUCAGUGUGGGCUCUGCCCAGAGCUCAGAGAUCUAGUAAAAAGACAGAUAGUUCCUAUAUAAAUAAAAUUGGUCUCCUCAUAU
rnacentral:lncRNA from 1 species